rnacentral:rRNA from 1 species
AUUGAACGCUGGCGGAAUGCUUUACACAUGCAAGUCGAACGGCAGCACGGACUUCGGUCUGGUGGCGAGUGGCGAACGGGUGAGUAAUGUAUCGGAACGUGCCCAGUCGUGGGGGAUAACGUAGUGAAAAUUACGCUAAUACCGCAUACGAUCUAUGGAUGAAAGCGGGGGAUCGCAAGACCUCGCGCGAUUGGAGCGGCCGAUAUCAGAUUAGGUAGUUGGUGGGGUAAAGGCCCACCAAGCCAACGAUCUGUAGCUGGUCUGAGAGGACGACCAGCCACACUGGAACUGGGACACGGUCCAGACUCCUACGGGAGGCAGCAGUGGGGAAUUUUGGACAAUGGGCGAAAGCCUGAUCCAGCCAUUCCGCGUGCAGGAUGAAGGCCCUCGGGUUGUAAACUGCUUUUGUACAGAACGAAAAGGUUUCUACUAAUACUAGGAGCUCAUGAGGGUACUGUAAGAAUAUGCACCGGCUAACUACGUGCCAGCCGCCGCCGUAA